CCAUGUCCCGUGUCCCCUGUCCCCUCCCGGCUCUGGGUCCUCCCGCCCGCCAGGGGCGCUCGCGGGCGGCAGAGCGGCGCGCAUGCGCGGCCGUUCCCGCACUAUAUAAGCGCGAGGCGCGGACGGCCCCGCCCUCUUGGCGGCCGUGGGGCGGCGGGAGUGGAGCUCCUCUGCUGCCUCAGAGGGACCGGGAACGGAACCGAAACCGGGACCGGGACCGGCCUCGGCCUCUCCCGGCGGGGCCAGCGGGAAGCCCUGCGUCCCUCAUGCGCAGGACACCGGUGCUGGUUGAAGCGGCGGCGCCGCACUGCGCCUUCCCCCGCCAUGUUGUGGCGAGGCUCCCUCAGGGCCGGAGCCGCGGCCCCGAGCGGCUGUGGCGGGGGAACACGGGCGAGUCUGCAAAAAAAAUGAAGUGACCAGGAUGGUGUGAGUUCAGAAAUGAAGGGUGAUCCUUCAGAAAAAAGGUGUCCGAGAAACCUUCAGCCAUCUUCCUAACUAGGUGGACCUGGAGGAGCUGAGCCCAGGUGAGCUGCAGUGCCAGCCCCAGCCCAGGUGAGCUGCCAGCCCCAUCCCAGCCCAGAUUAUGCCUUGAGCUGCAGAAUGUCUGACAAAUGUGGCAACUGAGAACUGGCUGGCAGCAUCCACGUCUGAUGGUUUGGAGAUUCCUAAAACUUGAUCAUCUGUGUUUUCUCUACGUGGUUAAGAAGGAUUUAAAUUAAAAAAAAACCUAAAUAAAGAUGCCACCUACAAGACUGAAA